CUAUUUAAUUUAAGUAUGAAGCACAAAAUGCUAGAUAACUUCUGCCAAUAUCAUUCAAUUGCAUGAUACAAUCCAAAAGAAACGGGAAACAUAGAAAAAUGUCCCCGCCAAUCAGGAGACUCAGCUAAUUAGAGUUGGAACUUGCAAACUUGAAAGAGUCCAUCAAAGAAAAUAACUUUAUUGAUGUAGUGCAAUGAAACUGAGAAUUGAGAAAUGGAAGGGAAAAAGGUUACAUUCUCCACUAAUUUUUCAACGAACAGAAACAAAAGAGAGUGGAAAUUGAAAAGAUGACAAUAUAAUUAGCAAUACUUGGGGGGUAUAAUCCAGCUAAGUUGAGUCAAUACCUAGUGAACUUGAUUUGAUUAGAAAUCUGAAGGCUUGAAACUCAGCUCAAACUCAAUCAAGUUUUAUUCUUCAAACUCAAACUAGAGUACUUUGAACUCAACUUGAUACUCGAAAUACUUGGGUUCGACUCAUGACCAAAAUUUACCUUUAUCAAUUUAAAAGCUGG
rnacentral:misc_RNA from 1 species